rnacentral:rRNA from 1 species
AGAGUUUGAUCCUGGCUCAGAGUGAACGCUGGCGGCGUGCCUAAUACAUGCAAGUCGAACGAUGAAGCUUCUAGCUUGCUAGAAUGCUGAUUAGUGGCGCACGGGUGAGUAACGCAUAGGUCAUGUGCCUCUUAGUUUGGGAUAGCCAUUGGAAACGAUGAUUAAUACCAGAUACUCCCUACGGGGGAAAGAUUUAUCGCUAAGAGAUCAGCCUAUGUCCUAUCAGCUUGUUGGUAAGGUAAUGGCUUACCAAGGCUAUGACGGGUAUCCGGCCUGAGAGGGUGAACGGACACACUGGAACUGAGACACGGUCCAGACUCCUACGGGAGGCAGCAGUAGGGAAUAUUGCUCAAUGGGGGAAACCCUGAAGCAGCAACGCCGCGUGGAGGAUGAAGGUUUUAGGAUUGUAAACUCCUUUUGUUAGAGAAGAUAAUGACGGUAUCUAACGAAUAAGCACCGGCUAACUCCGUGCCAGCAGCCGCGGUAAUACGGAGGGUGCAAGCGUUACUCGGAAUCACUGGGCGUAAAGAGCGCGUAGGCGGGAUAGUCAGUCAGGUGUGAAAUCCUAUGGCUUAACCAUAGAACUGCAUUUGAAACUACUAUUCUAGAGUGUGGGAGAGGUAGGUGGAAUUCUUGGUGUAGGGGUAAAAUCCGUAGAGAUCAAGAGGAAUACUCAUUGCGAAGGCGACCUGCUGGAACAUUACUGACGCUGAUUGCGCGAAAGCGUGGGGAGCAAACAGGAUUAGAUACCCUGGUAGUCCACGCCCUAAACGAUGGAUGCUAGUUGUUGGAGGGCUUAGUCUCUCCAGUAAUGCAGCUAACGCAUUAAGCAUCCCGCCUGGGGAGUACGGUCGCAAGAUUAAAACUCAAAGGAAUAGACGGGGACCCGCACAAGCGGUGGAGCAUGUGGUUUAAUUCGAAGAUACACGAAGAACCUUACCUAGGCUUGACAUUGAGAGAAUCCGCUAGAAAUAGUGGAGUGUCUGGCUUGCUAGACCUUGAAAACAGGUGCUGCACGGCUGUCGUCAGCUCGUGUCGUGAGAUGUUGGGUUAAGUCCCGCAACGAGCGCAACCCCCUUUCUUAGUUGCUAACAGGUCAUGCUGAGAACUCUAAGGAUACUGCCUCCGUAAGGAGGAGGAAGGUGGGGACGACGUCAAGUCAUCAUGGCCCUUACGCCUAGGGCUACACACGUGCUACAAUGGGGUGCACAAAGAGAAGCAAUACUGCGAAGUGGAGCCAAUCUUCAAAACGCCUCUCAGUUCGGAUUGUAGGCUGCAACUCGCCUGCAUGAAGCUGGAAUCGCUAGUAAUCGCAAAUCAGCCAUGUUGCGGUGAAUACGUUCCCGGGUCUUGUACUCACCGCCCGUCACACCAUGGGAGUUGUGUUUGCCUUAAGUCAGGAUGCUAAAUUGGCUACUGCCCACGGCACACACAGCGACUGGGGUGAAGUCGUAACAAGGUAACCGUAGGUGAACCUGCGGUUG